AAAAAGGAAGGCUUAUUUGGUAUUAGGUAGUUGGUUAUGAUAAAAGCUGACCAUAGCCUGAGAUGCCUAGCAGACUUUAGCGAGUGAUCUGCCACAACGGGCUUGGAAGAGUGCCUGAACAUACAAUGGCAGCAGUAAAGAAUCUUGGACAAUGCAUUAACGUGUGAUCCAGCCAGUCUCUGUGGUGGAUGAAGGCCUUUUAGGUUGUAAACAUCUAAGGUUUUUUUUAGAAUAUAAUGAAUGUAUAAAAAAAAUCAAGGGGUGGCUAACCUCGUGCCAGCAGCCGCGGUAAUACGGGGGCCUCUAGUCCUUGACCUCAUGACUGGGGUGUAAAAUGGCCACAAAGGAGGUUGUCUUUGUUCUUGAUAAAAUACUACGACUUGAUCGUAGGGCUAUCAUUAAUACAAGAAAUUUUGACUAGAAUAUAUAGGGG
rnacentral:rRNA from 1 species